rnacentral:tRNA from 2 species
CCUUCGAUAGCUCAGUUGGUAGAGCGGAGGACUGUAGGUCAUUGUUCUAGAAAUCCUUAGGUCGCUGGUUCGAAUCCGGCUCGAAGGA